rnacentral:rRNA from 1 species
CAGGCCUAACACAUGCAAGUCGAACGGAACUUGGAGGAGCUUGCUUUUCCAAGUUUAGUGGCGAACGGGUGAGUAACGCGUGAGUAACCUGCCCUGGAGUGGGGGACAACAGUUGGAAACGACUGCUAAUACCGCAUAAGCCCACGAUACCGCAUGGUAUUGAGGGGAAAGGAUUUAUUCGCUUCAGGAUGGACUCGCGUCCAAUUAGCUAGUUGGUGAGGUAACGGCCCACCAAGGCGACGAUUGGUAGCCGGACUGAGAGGUUGAACGGCCACAUUGGGACUGAGACACGGCCCAGACUCCUACGGGAGGCAGCAGUGGGGGAUAUUGCACAAUGGGGGAAACCCUGAUGCAGCGACGCCGCGUGGAGGAAGAAGGUUUUCGGAUUGUAAACUCCUGUCGUAAGGGACGAUAAUGACGGUACCUUACAAGAAAGCCACGGCUAACUACGUGCCAGCAGCCGCGGUAAAACGUAGGUGGCAAGCGUUGUCCGGAAUUACUGGGUGUAAAGGGAGCGCAGGCGGGCUGUCAAGUUGGAAGUGAAAUCUAUGGGCUCAACCCAUAAAUUGCUUUCAAAACUGAUGGUCUUGAGUAGUGCAG